UACGUAGGGUCCAAGCGUUAUCCGGAAUCACUGGGCGUAAAGCGUGCGUAGGUGGAUGCUUAAGUGAGAUGUGAAAGCGUGUGGCUCAACCAUAUCGUUGUAUCUCAUACUGGGUAUCUAGAGGACGGCAGAGGCAAGUGGAAUUUCUCGUGUAGCGGUAAAAAUGCGUAGAUAUGAGAAGGAACACCAAUGGCGAAGGCAGCUUGCUGGGCCGCCCCUGACACUGAGGUACGAAAGCGUGGGGAGCGAACAGG
rnacentral:rRNA from 1 species